rnacentral:rRNA from 1 species
UGCGUAGGCGGGCUAAUAAGUCAGUGGUGAAAUCUUCCGGCUCAACCGGGAACCUGCCAUUGAUACUGUUAGCCUUGAGUUCGGUUGAGGUAGGCGGAAUGUGUAAUGUAGCGGUGAAAUGCUUAGAUAUUACACAGAACACCAAUUGCGUAGGCAGCUUACUAGACCGACACUGACGCUGAGGCACGAAAGCGUGGGGAGCGAACAGGAUUAGAUACCCUGGUAGUCC